GGACGUUUCACCAACUUCUUACUACAGUCUGUGCCCUCCUCCAAGUUGCAGAAGGACUUUAGUCUUUUAUCCUGGGGUCCCUGUUGCUAUGCCUUUGUCUACAUCAUUGGUUUCUUUUUUCUAACAAAUCACACCCCUCUCAGGGCCCAGCUGGUUUUCAUAUGCUCCCUCUCAUUAAUUAAACUUUCAUCACCAGCGAGAACAACCAUCACAGGGAGUGCGGGUCUGCUGUGUGCCAAAGCUCAACUGCUGCUGGGGCCUGGCCAUCUCCCAGGAAGGCAGCAUGGACCCUCACCACGGGUGCCCUGCCUCCAGGAGUGGACAGAGGCUGACCCCCCGAUGCCCCCAAACACUGACCCUCACAGCCCUCGACCUCCUGCUCCUGCAAUAGGCAGGUGAUGUGAAGGUGUCUCAUCAGCUGUCAAGCUACCAGUUUAGGUGAGCAGUUCCUACUUGUUCUUUAGCCAGUUUUCUCUCCUUAAGUGGCUGAGCCAGCAUCUCCUGGGGCCCAGAGGGUGACCUGGACGGUACUUCUCAUCUGAACACUUGCUCUAAACUUUGGAGAGUAUGAAAUGCACUUCUGUUUUACUGCUUAGCAUUUGGAUACUAUUUGUUACUCCAGCUUGGUAUAACCUAAUCAAUGUACCUUUUUUUAAUUUUUUUUUUAAGGAUACUAUCAAAUCACUCCUAAAAAGAUUGAAUUUUCAUGCCCCAAAAUAGUGUUUCUGAAAUCUGAGUAGUUUCUAUUGCUCAUUAACUUCUCAUUACAUCCAUGAAUGGAAUGCAUCAUUAUUCCCCAUUUUAUACUUGAGAAUAUUUUUGGUAUGUUCCCCAAAUCAUGAAUCUAGCAUGUGGCACAGCU
rnacentral:lncRNA from 1 species